UUCCUACACUUGGCAGUUCGAGCGGUAGAGAGGUGCUUGCAUCUCUUGAGAGCGGCGGACCGGUGAUUAAUGCCUAGGAAUCUGCCUAGUGGUGGGGGAUAACGUUCGGAAACGGACGCUAAUACCGCAUACGUCCUACGGGAGAAAGCGGGGGAUCUUCGGACCUCGCGCCAUUAGAUGACCCUAGGUCGGAUUAGCUAGUUGGUGAGGUAAUGGCUCACCAAGGCGACGAUCCGUAACUGGUCUGAGAGGAUGAUCAUUCACACUGGAACUGAGACUGGUCCAGACUACUACGGGAGGCAACAGUGGGGAAUAUUGGACAUUGGGUUAAAGCUUGAUCCAUCAUUGUCCGCGUGUGUGAAGAAGGUCUUCGGACUGUAAAGUAAUUUAUUUUUAGGAG
rnacentral:rRNA from 1 species